rnacentral:rRNA from 1 species
CAGUCGCCGCGGGAAUACGUAGGUGGCAAGCGUCGUCCGGAAUUAUUGGGCGUAAAGCGCGCGCAGGCGGAUAGGUCAGUCUGUCUUAAAAGUUCGGGGCUUAACCCCGUGAUGGGAUGGAAACUGCCAAUCUAGAGUAUCGGAGAGGAAAGUGGAAUUCCUAGUGUAGCGGUGAAAUGCGUAGAUAUUAGGAAGAACACCAGUGGCGAAGGCGACUUUCUGGACGAAAACUGACGCUGAGGCGCGAAAGCCAGGGGAGCGAACGGGAUUAGAUACCCCCGUAGUCCCUGUCUCUUAUACC